rnacentral:tRNA from 1 species
GGCGGGGCCGGCAUGGCAGGCGAUGCCGGCCCAAUGCCGGGCGACGGGGCGGCCGAAGUCCCGGACGAUGUUCUGGAAUCCUCCGCCGCCG